AGAGUUUGAUCAUGGCUCAGGAUAAACGCUGGCGGCGUGCUUCAGGCAUGCAAGUCGAACGAGUGUCCACCUUCGGGUGGUCUACUAGUGGCGGACGGGUGAGUAACGCGUUAGCAACCUGCCCAAAAGUGGGGAAUAACUAACCGAAAGGUUAGCUAAUACCGCAUGUGAUAGCUGGUUCUUGGACCGGCUAUGAAAGGCUUCGGUCGCUUUUGGAGGGGCUUGCGUCAGAUUAGCUUGUUGGUGGGGUAAUGGCCUACCAAGGCGACGAUCUGUAGCUGGUCUGAGAGGACGAUCAGCCACACGGGGACUGAGAUACGGCCCCGACUCCUACGGGAGGCAGCAGCUAGGAAUCUUGGGAAUGGGCGAAAGCCUGACCCAGCAACGCCGCGUGGGCGAUGAAGGCCUUCGGGUCGUAAAGCCCUUUUGUAGGGGACGAUGAUGACGGUACCUGCGUAUAGCCC
rnacentral:rRNA from 1 species